UGGAAAUUUAAGCCACAGCUUCUUUCUCCUACAUAUAUGCAGGCAGUACAUACCCUAACCAAGGUAUUGUUGAUAAACUAGAGAAGAACAAUUAUGGCAAGCAAUAUCGGUACCACUCGUUAUCUUAUUUGUAGCUUCCUCUUGAUUAUUGUCCUCUUCUUUACCCCAUGGGCGGCUCUUGCUUCUAAGACUCUAUACAAUGAUUUAAAUGGAAGAAAACUCCUACCGUUAGUUCAGCCGGUUAAAAGCGAUCCUCAUCAUCCUGGUUCAUCAAGGAGCCAUCCUUAAUUACAUCGUAGGCACAAUGUCAAUAUUAAUUAAUGGCAUUAUGAUUUAAACUUGCAAAUUACAAUUUUAUUGUAAGGUUUGUCAUUUGUUAUUAAGAGUAAGGUUUAGUUAAAAGUACAGAAAAGAAGGAUCAUUGUCAUUGUAUUAAUUUAGGUACUGUAAUACAUUAUCAAUAAUAAUUGAUA